UGAGGAAUAUUGGUCAAUGGACGAGAGUCUGAACCAGCCAAGUAGCGUGCAGGAUGACGGCCCUAUGGGUUGUAAACUGCUUUUGUUUGGGAAUAAUCGACAUUACGUGUAAUGUUUUGCAUGUACCAUUCGAAUAAGGACCGGCUAAUUCCGUGCCAGCAGCCGCGGUAAUACGGAAGGUCCAGGCGUUAUCCGGAUUUAUUGGGUUUAAAGGGAGUGUAGGCGGUUGGUUAAGCGUGUUGUGAAAUGUAGAUGCUCAACAUCUGACUUGCAGCGCGAACUGGCUGACUUGAGUACACACAACGUAGGCGGAAUUCAUGGUGUGGCGGUGAAAUGCUUAGAUAUCAUGAAGAACUCCGAUUGCGAAGGCAGCUUACGGGAGUGUUACUGACGCUUAAGCUCGAAGGUGCGGGUAUCGAACAGG
rnacentral:rRNA from 1 species